UCCCUGCUUUCUGCCAUGCUUCCUGCUGUGUUGAUAAUGAUACUAUUUUAGUCAUGAUGUUUCUUCCCAGCAAUAAAACCCUAAGACAGUCUGCACGACAGCCCUGAGUUGAACUUCAUUCUUGGUCUACUGAUUGCUGGGGUCCAGCAGUCACUUCACAAACUGCAUGGACACAAUCUCAGUCUGACAGGGGUAGUUUAUUGGCCUCAGAACUGAUCAAUCUGGGCCAUGGUUCAGACUUAGGAGCUGAACCAUGAAAUUGAGUUAAGAUCCUACAGGGCUUUUAAGCCUAAAAUCCACAAAAAUCUGUGCCAAGUUAUUUCUCUAGUCAAGAUUUAGGGAUAGGGGACUUCCUUAGGAACAUGUCUUUGCUGUACACUUAUCCUGCUUCCAUUGGUUGGGGUAUUCUGCUGUGGCAGGGGACUUGCUUUGCUUAACAUUCAUGUCUUAACUUGCCAACCAGAAUGUCAGUUACCCAAGUACCUGUCUCUUUCUCCUAGGUAGGAUGUCAGUUCCCAGGGAGGUCUUGGGAGCUUAAACUUUAUUGAAUCCCAUACCCAAAAUGGAAGUCUUAUUAUUCCAAAUAGUUUCUCAUGUUGGUGCAGAUGUUUUUCUUAUAUUGGGGUCCAAGCUUAUUGUGGGUAACUAUACAAAAUAGUCCUACCGACUUCUACUAUGAUUGGUUUCCAAAGGGCAUAGAACAUAACAGAAUAUGUAAUCAACUUGGGCAUGAGAAAGUUUCCUAGUAACAGCAGAAGCAACACAGAGAGAUUUUCCUUACAAUAUUAGUAACAGCACAAAAUGGCAGGCUAGACAGGUAACAGUUACCUGGGCCUUACCAUUCCAUCUAGGCCUUCAUAUUUUACCUAGGCUUUAUCAUUGAUGAAACCGAGGCCUAGAGAGACUUAGCACCUUGCACAAGGCCAUCCUCACUUUGUUCUGUUAUGCAUUAUGCAGUCAGGACAGCGUCACAGGACUCAUCAUUAUGGGACCUAAGGUAAGUCUGGUCUUGGAAAAAGGUGCAGCUGUCAGUACUGCCAGUUAAUAACUUCGUAGCUCCAGGCACAUCUCUUAAUUAUCUGGGCAUGAAUUUCUGUAUCAGCAAAUUAAUGAUGUUGUGCCAGAGUCUCAUAUUCUAGGUUCUGCAUGAGGAAAUUAACAGUGCAGAACUGAAUGACUUCAAGUACUCUCCCUAAUCCAGAGGGUCUGUAGCUUCAGUCACCAAAGCAGCUUCUUUGGAGCCCCUUCCUACCCAACCCUCCACCAUCAGAGUGCUCUGAGAGAGCAUAUCUAAAAAGCAGAUUCCUAGCAUCACUCAUGAUUGAACAUAUCUUCACCCAAAUGUCUGCAAUAGGAUCCAACAGUCUACUGUGUUUAUUAAACCACAGUUUAGGUGACCGAGAUUGUAUCUUAUGUUACCAAGGGAUAUGAGGGAAGGUAAGAGUUUAAUAAUGGGAGAGAAGCAGCUAAUGCAUGCUCUGAAAGUGUGGUGGUUUGAAUGAAAAUGGCCCCCAUAGGCUCAUAUGUUUGAAUGCUCGAUCCCCAGUUGAUGAAUUACUUGGGAAGAAUUAGCAUGUGCAGCCUUUGAGGAAGUGUGCCAUUGGAGGUAGGCUUUGAGGUUUCAGAGGUCCACACCAUUUCAGGUUAGUUCUCUCUCUCUCUCUCUCUCUCUCUCUCUCUCUCUCUCUCUCCUUCUUUCCCUCCCUCCCUUCCCCCUGCCCCCUGCUUCAUAGCUGUGGAUCACAUAUAAGCUCUCAGACACUGCUCCAGCACCAGGCCUAGUUAAUUGCCUGUCUGUCUGCUGCCAUGCUCCCCACCAUGAUGGUCCUGGACUCAACCUCUGGAAGUGUGAGACCCCACAUUAAUCACUUUCUUUUUUACAUUGCCUUGGUCAUGAUGCUUUGUCAGGGCAAUAGAAAAGUAACUAAGACAGACAACAAUUGUCUUAAAGCAAGAAGAUUUAAAACCAGACAUUGGCAUUUGGAAUCCGUGAAUGGGUUGGCUUGACUGUAGAGAAAGGGUGCUCUGGUUUGAUCCUCAGAGUUUUAUAUACACUGGAGACUUACAUGGUUUUCAGUGUGGAGGUGGGACUUUUAAGAGAUGGGUCCUAGUGAGAAGUGUUCUUAGGUCAAGUGAAGACACAUCCUUGGGAAGUCUUGGCUUUCCUCUGACUUCCUUUCUAGUUAGGUUCUUAUUUCUAUACACCUUUGCCAUUUCUAUCCACUGUGAAGUGAUUCAACUGAGGGAGGUUCCUCGUUAUGCACAGGAUUAUGCUGUUAGACUUUCAACCUCCCAAAAUGUGAAUACACCUCUUAUAUUCAUAAAGUUAGCCUGCCUCUGAUAUUUCACUGUUGUUAUGCCAAAUCAACUAAUCCUAGGUCAUUGUCAGUAGCAGAAAAUUACCUACAUUACACACUCACUUCAUGAUUCUAAGCUACUAACCAUGUAUAAAGUCAGUCUGCUUUGGUCCUUAAUGGACAACUUAUGCAAAUGUUAGCCUCUGAGAGUCCACCCCUCUCCCCAGGGGAGGAGAGAGCCAUUGGUUCUGGUGCUCCAAUGGGAAUAUCCAGUCAGCUAGCUCACAGCCAUUCACACAGCUCAGGCGGAAAACAUUAGUUUCCGAGUUUUUCCCGUUUCCCCAUUCAUCUUUUACGGUGGAUGCUCUUCACGUUCCUAAGAUGCCCUGAUUGAUAUCGGCUUCCUAACCACAUCCCCGAAGUUUUAGUUCCCCUGAUUAUACUUCAUUUAUUAUACAUGCCUUCUUAUGAUUUGUAUGGUUUUAUGUAUCCUUUGAGAUACGUUGAGUUGGCAAUAACAUGACAUUGCAAUUCAUAUGAAUUGUUGAGCAUAAACUGGCAUUCUGAAGGAUGCCAUGCAGGCAGAGGAAAUGGAUGGAAUAGUGGUUGGUCCCUCUCCUCCUAGAAUCUCGUAUGACCUUAUUUGGUCAUUGCAGACAUAAUCAGGAUGAAGCUACACUGGAUUAAGACGGAUUAUUAGAUCUGAUGUCUGGUGACCUGAUAUGAAUAGAAAAAUAAAAAUACUUGAAGAAGGAAGAAGGGAUCGUGACUUUGAGACAAGCUAAAGGAUCAGAGCCACCCGCAGCUGGAAAACUCAGGGAGGAGUUUCCUCUAGACUUCUCAGAGACAGCAUGGUCCUAUCGGCAUUUUAACGUUAGACUUUAAGCCUGUAGGAUUAUGAGGAAAUGGGCUCUGAUCCUUUAAGCACUUAGUUUGUGGCAAAUUGUUGCUGCAAUCUUAGGAAAUGACAACCAGUAUUAGGGAGAAUGUUUCCCAUGAUUCAUCUGCUCACACAUUCACUUACCUGAUAUUUCUGUAUUCUGCGUGCAGGGGGACACUGACAUGCAUCUAGAGAACGCACGAUCACUGGGGCAACUUCUGUCCCCACUGGCCUUAGCUGAUAACAUUAGAGUGAGCACUGGCUUCAAGGUCUUGUGGCCUCUGCAGUUCCGAGUCCGGCCCAAGAUUCGUUGUGUUAAGCACUCUAUCAUACUUUCUGAACAAGCAACUCUCCAUUUUUAUUUUGUGCUGGACUCCACUAAUUGCUCUUCUGUGUCUUGUCUUACUGGGGUAGUUAUGUAAUUACACAUGUAUCAGGAGGACCCAAAUGAAGACCCACCAAGGUAGUGAGAGACCAAAAUUUGGGGAUUCCUAAUCCAUCUUAGAUAACCUGACUUAAGGUUAAACUCAAGUUAACUAAUAUCCGUUUCCAGGCUACCCCCCAAUAAGACCUACGUCUCCAGGUUACCCCCAGCUCCACCCCCUCAAACAAAUCCUGCGACUAGCACCAGUUUCCAGGUUAUUCCCCCAACCCCAACAACACCUGGGUCUAGCACCAAUCUCCAGGUUAUUCCUCAACAAAUCUGCACCUGCAGGUUACAAGCCCGCCCCUGGCACUUUCUAACAACCACCAAUCAGGAGGAAAGCUUAAGUUAAGUUCAUUGUUUGGCUCCCAGCACCAGCCAAUCACGUUAAAGAUCACAGUAGCUGUCCCCCGCCCCCAUUGGAUGCUUGUGGGGCUAGAAACACUCACCCCUCUCUUGCCAUUUUCUAUCAAACCUUGUCUAGAUGAGUGUUUGAGGCUUUUCUCCACCGGAACCGUCCUGUAAGGUUGAAGGCGACUUAAGCUGAAGCUCGAGCUUGUGAAUAAAGACCCUAGUGUGAUUACAUCGGAUCGGCUCCUGAUUGGUCUUUUGGGGUUCACGAAUGCCUCCUGGUAUACAGUAGGACUCCUUAAAGGAGUACAUUAGAAAAGCAGGCACUUACAAAGCUGUAUUGUGUGGCUUUGUAAGCAACUACGUAGAAACAGAUCUUUAACAAAUAUGUGAAGUCAUUAUAUUUGAAGUUCUCUUUUUAUGUGUAUAAUAUGCAAAAUAUGGUAGAAAAUAACCCAUGCACACAUGUUAAUAUAGUCAGUUAUUAUGUAUAUCGGAGUUCUCACAUAUACUAAUGGUACAGUGGAAGGGGUUUUCUUCAAUAACCCUUCCCGUUUCCCCUCCCGGACACUACCUCUCCUUUCCUAUAUCCCAAUAGUCUUUCUUUGACUUUUGUAUACUUCCAGGACUUGUCCUUCUGAAUCUGGCUUGGUCUGUGUAUGUGAAGGUUUGUGUGUAUCUCUCGUUUUAUGUAUCCAUUCAUUCAUUGAUGGACUUCCUUGCUGGUGACACCAUCUGGCCAUCGUGGCCAGUGUAGCAGUAAUGAUGGAUGCAUAGAUGUCUCUAUAGUAGACGGGCUUUGUUCCUCUUGAGGAAUUCCCAUAAGUGAGGUAACCAGAUUAUAUGGAAGUUCUUUUUUGUUAAUUUCUUUUUGAGGAAACUUCAUACUGAUUUCCACUGCAGCUGCUCCAAUUUACACCCCGGCACCAGGGCGUGGGUGGGUUUUCCCCAUCCUUGCCAACGUUUGAUGAUUUUUGUUUCUUUGUUUUUUCCUUGAUGACAGCCAUUCUGACUGCGGUGAGAAGGAUUGUCCAUUCCCCUGAUGGCUAAAACAUGUUGAUUAUUAAGGUCUUUUCUGUUUCUUGGAAUCAACAAGAAGCCUCCAAAAGCCAGAAUGGCUUAUGGGAAGGAGACUCAGAAAAACACAGGAACUACCUGGAAUGCCUUUGUCUUUUACAUGACUGCUCCAGAGAAAAAGGUGAAGACUUUAGAGAGAGACAGUGUAAGUGAAAUCCCCCUUCCAGCUCCUCCCUCUGACGGCUUCACAACGUGACCCUGCACGGCACACGUGCAGGGUAGGAUAACUCACACAAGUGUGCAACCAUUUCGUCUUCCUGCUUCUGCAGCCUUCAGUUGGGACGCCCCAUUAUGUGAGGAAACACUAAAAUUCUUGGCACUGUGUUAGAGGUUGGGUGGAUUAGUUAAAGUCUGGGUUUUAUCUUUCCCUCUUACCCAAAGUGCCCAUGGGCAGCAGUCUGUAUCCUGUCUCCAUAGUAUGCACCUGCUGCUGCUUCCGUCCAUGAAGCCUAGACAGCCAUAUUUCCCCCCUUUAAUCUGGCCCCCAUGACAGAAUCCUUUCUGUGUUAGUUUGAAUAAGGAAUGUUCCCCAUGGUCUUGGACAUCUAAUCUCCCUUCACUGCCCUGUUUGGGGACAUUCACGUGGUACAGUCUUCCUGGGACAGUGUGUCACUAGGGGCAGGCUUUGAGAUGGAAAGACUCAGCCGUACUUCAGUUCCUGCUUGCCCUUGGUGCCCUCACACCCCGUGCUUACCACUGUGCCUACUCUUUGAUGCCGUGCCUCCUACCACGAUGGACUCGUGCCUCUGGAACUGUAAGCAAAAUAAACUGCCAUCUGCAUGCUCCCCUGGUCAUGGUGGGUUUUUUUUCUUCAUAGCAACAGAAGUGUAACUAAUACAUUAUUUUGAAUGUUGCUGGCUGCUUCUUUUCCUUAUCUCAGCCUCAGUUCAAAUGGGAAUCAGACCUUUCCCAUUCAUGAAGCUCUGAUACAGCGGAUCUACAAUUCACAUGCAACUCUUUUUAUUUGGUUGUAGGUUUGUCCUCACCACCAGCUCGAAUUGCUGCAGACCUAUGACUUCAUGCUUUUGUUGUACCAAGGAACUGUUCGUGAACCCUGAAAGACCAGUCAGGAGCCAAGCCGAUGUAAUCACACCAGGUCUUUAUUCCACCUAACUCCAGGCUUACUUCACUGCUGUCCGCAGGAUGGUUCAGGUGGAGGAAAAACCCUGAACUUUCAUCAAGGCAAGGUUUACAGAAAGUAGCAAGUGAGGGGUUAAGAUCAUCAUGCUCAUGCUUGAAUUUGGCUUGGCCUUUCAGGGAAAAAUAUCCAAGCUCUGGCGCUGUGGAAAUGAGGUUUGAAUUCUCUCCAUCACUUAUUAGGGCAACAUUCAAGGGUCCCAUUAUGACAGUUCCCCAAGAUUACUCCUCUCCUUUGCCUUUCAAAUGAUGGUGUGUCCUAAAAAUCGGACGUCGAUUGACUACGUAGCUUAGAAAUUCAACGAGCAUAUUGAGGAUUCUGUGUCCAGGCACAAUGUUAUCUGCAAAGUUGGAGGCCGGUCCCAACAUGGAAUAGGUUUGGCUUCUCACCCCACAAAUCAUCGCCAUGGACUUCGUGUCUAGAAACAGCUUUUUGGUGUCUGAAAGUCCAAGAGUUAGAUCCAGACCCUGCCAUAUCUCCAUGUUACCGCAGUGGCAACUUGACUGUCUUCCUAACUCCAAUCGAUGCCGCAAUGCAAUGGUGACUUCAUUACUAGAUGACUCGGAUUCAGGGAUUUGGACCCCAGAGAGCUUGAAAGUCCUAUUUAUGAAUGUGUCUCUGAGGCUGUUUCUGGAGGAUGGCCUUUGAGUCAGCAGACUGAGCAAGGAGACACCCUUGCAAAUGCUGGUGGGCACAAUCCAAUUCACAAGAGCUAAGGGAGGAUCAAAGGCAGAGGAAGAGACUCGCACUGCUUAGGUUAGACAUCUCCCCCUCUUGUGCUGGACACCGGCACUCUUGGUUCUUGGGUCUUUGAACGCACACUGGAGUUUUGUAUCCAUGUGCCCCUCAGUUCUUAUAAACUUUUGGCUGGAGCUGCAACUGUGCCUUUUGAGGACUGAGACAAGUCAGUCCCUCAUAAUCUCUCUCUAUAUGUCUGUGUACCUUACUGCUUCUGUUUCUCUGAAGAACCCCGAUUGAAAAUUUGGGAAGGAAUACUGCACUACUACUUUCCAGACUCUUUCUCUCCAUUUCUUUUAGUUUCUUAAGUAUAUCUAGUAUUUUGUGGUUGUUAUUUUUUCAAGACAUGGCAAAUUGUUCAUCACAGUUCUAAAGGGGCGUGGUCCUAGAUCAGAAUACUAGGGUGAGAACUCAGUGAAUGACAGAUGCAUUAACGAAGUUACCAACCACGGGCAGAAGUAACAAAGGCUCUAACCUAAGUUAAGGAACAGAAUUUCAAAGUGGAUAGAAAUAGUCGGAUGAGUAACUUCACACACAAGGAACAGUGAGUGGCCUGUGCCCUGCUACCACUGAGGAUGGUAGUAACCCUGGAGAGUAUUUUUAUAAUGCUGCCUUCUGUAGACUCAUGACUCAGAAGGAAAUUCACACGAGGAGGUGUCUUAGUGUUCUACUGCUGCAAGGAGACAGCAGACGAAGGCACCUCUUAGACAAGAAAGCACUUACUUGGAGGCUUGCUUACAGUCAGAGGGUUCAUCCAUGAUCAUCAUGACAGAAAGUAAACAUGCAUGGGGCCAAGAGCUUACACCUUGAUCCAAAGGCAGUAGGCAAAGUGAGAGAGACUAGGCUGGGUGUGGACUUUUGAAACCUCGAAGCCCACUUCCAGUGAUGCACGUUCUCCAACAGGACCACACUUCCUUAUCCUUCCCAACAGUUCCCCAGCUGGGAAAGAAGCAUGUGACAAUACAGGAGACUAUGGGGCCAUUCUCACUCCACCCUCCACAGGAGGAGAACGGGAUUAUAACAGAGAUGUGAUGUUUGUUAUCCUGAGAAGUGAAAAGCGGGCUGAGCUGAGGCCAGGCUAGACUUCGCCUCUGGAGCUCCUCUUCUCCUCUUUAGCAUCUUCUCUUUUGCCCUUCAUGUUUGCUCAGUGCCUUUUCUUGCCACCCACAUGAAGACCUGCUUUACUGUGCACUUCUGCACAGAAUAUGCACAUGCAAUCACAUAAAGUCUCCUUCUUUCCCUCCUCUCCAUUUGCUCAUCUCCAGCUCAUUCAGGUUUUCAGAGAAAGGACGUGGUCAGAAGAUCUAUCUCACCUCUAUCAGCUGUUGGGUCUGAAAUUAGGAUCCGGUCACGUGGGGUGGGGGUUGGGUGGCCUAUGGGAACUGGGAGCCUGCUAAGCAUUUAGCAUGAGUCAGAUGCCAUUUCAAAUACUUCGUGUGCAUUAACUCAUUGGUUUCAUCGCAGCCCUGUGGAACAGAUUCCUGUAUCUCCAUUUAACAGAUUAGCAAGUGAACAUUACAUCCUCAGGUCCAGACAGAGAGAUGAGCAAUGGAAAAGCUGACUUAUCAUCGUGGGGUAGUGCAGAUAAUACGUAGUGAAGAGUCAACCUGAGCACCUGUGGCUCUAGCAUAACUCCUUCAACUGUUGUCAUCUAAAGCUUGAGUGGGUCGGGAUUGUCCAAGAGGACCUCAUGCAUAUGCUGGACAACUAUCUGAGGCUGUAGGCUCAGGCCCCCUCCUCCAAGUGAUCUUUUCAAAGGGUACUUCGGGUUCUUUGCUUAGUAGCUAGAUAUGAAGAAUUCCAAAUGUCAUCCAGAGAAUUACAUUGAUGCAGCAGCAGCCUCCAAAUAUGUCACCACACUGAGUUGUCACACAGAACACACAGUCAGGCAGACCAAAUCAAGAUCCUUGAGUGACACACACACACACACACACA
rnacentral:sRNA from 1 species